rnacentral:rRNA from 1 species
GACGAACCCUGGCGGCGUGCUUAACACAUGCAAGUCGAACGGGAUCCUCUCCAUGCUUGCUGGGGGGGUGAGAGUGGCGAACGGGUGAGUAAUGCGUGACUAACCUGCCUCAUGGUCUGGAAUAGCUCCUGGAAACGGGUGGUAAUGCCGGAUGGUCCAACUUUCCGCAUGGUUUGUUGGGAAAGCUUUUGCGCCAUGGGAUGGGGUCGCGUCCUAUCAGCUUGUUGGUGGGGUGUUGGCCUACCAAGGCUUCGACGGGUAGCCGGCCUAAGAGGGCGACCGGCCACAUUGGGACUGAGAUACGGCCCAGACUCCUACGGGAGGCAGCAGUGGGGAAUAUUGCACAAUGGGGGGAACCCUGAUGCAGCGACGCCGCGUGCGGGAUGGAGGCCUUCGGGUCGUGAA